rnacentral:lncRNA from 1 species
AAGAGCUGGUUCAGAUGACAUCUUGGUCUAGCAGUUUCUUGAGUUUAGUUCUCUGAGUUUAAUAGAGUUUUAUAGUAAUUCAGCAAGAUGAUGCACCCACUAGCGGCUUCAUGUACCAAACAUUUCUAUAUCGCUGCAUCCGAUAUUUUUUUUCCGACAGUGUGAUGGAGAAUGGAUGCGAGCAAGAGACUUUCAUUUUUUUUUUAAGGAAAAAAAUAGGAAAUUCUCUCUUUCUAAGAGAUUAAACUCAAUAGAAAAAUAUUCGAAGUAUCUUUUCUGCUUUGACCCGUGGGAAGAUAUGCUCUGAAGUUUUAUAUUUAUCUGAAAGAAAAGGAGAUAGAACAAAGAAGACACUCAAAGAAAUUUUGCUCUACCGAUCAAGAAGUGUGAUCGCUCGUUUUGAGGCUUUCAU